rnacentral:rRNA from 1 species
GGGGUAACAGAGGCUACACAUGCAGUCGAGCGGUAGCACAGAGAGCUUGCUCUCGGGUGACGAGCGGCGGACGGGUGAGUAAUGUCUGGGAAACUGCCUGAUGGAGGGGGAUAACUACUGGAAACGGUAGCUAAUACCGCAUAACGUCGCAAGACCAAAGUGGGGGACCUUCGGGCCUCAUGCCAUCAGAUGUGCCCAGAUGGGAUUAGCUAGUAGGUGGGGUAACGGCUCACCUAGGCGACGAUCCCUAGCUGGUCUGAGAGGAUGACCAGCCACACUGGAACUGAGACACGGUCCAGACUCCUACGGGAGGCAGCAGUGGGGAAUAUUGCACAAUGGGCGCAAGCCUGAUGCAGCCAUGCCGCGUGUAUGAAGAAGGCCUUCGGGUUGUAAAGUACUUUCAGCGGGGAGGAAGGCGAUAAGGUUAAUAACCUUGUCGAUUGACGUUACCCGCAGAAGAAGCACCGGCUAACUCCGUGCCAGCAGCCGCGGUAAUACGGAGGGUGCAAGCGUUAAUCGGAAUUACUGGGCGUAAAGCGCACGCAGGCGGUCUGUCAAGUCGGAUGUGAAAUCCCCGGGCUCAACCUGGGAACUGCAUUCGAAACUGGCAGGCUAGAGUCUUGUAGAGGGGGGUAGAAUUCCAGGUGUAGCGGUGAAAUGCGUAGAGAUCUGGAGGAAUACCGGUGGCGAAGGCGGCCCCCUGGACAAAGACUGACGCUCAGGUGCGAAAGCGUGGGGAGCAAACAGGAUUAGAUACCCUGGUAGUCCACGCCGUAAACGAUGUCGAUUUGGAGGUUGUGCCCUUGAGGCGUGGCUUCCGGAGCUAACGCGUUAAAUCGACCGCCUGGGGAGUACGGCCGCAAGGUUAAAACUCAAAUGAAUUGACGGGGGCCCGCACAAGCGGUGGAGCAUGUGGUUUAAUUCGAUGCAACGCGAAGAACCUUACCUGGUCUUGACAUCCACAGAACUUGCCAGAGAUGGCCUUGGUGCCUUUCGGGACUGUGAGACAGUGCUGCAUGGCUGUCGUCAGCUCGUGUUGUGAAAUGUUUGGGUUAAGUCCCCGCAACGAGCG